ACGCUGGCGGCAGGCCUAACACAUGCAAGUCGAGCGGUAGAGAGAAGCUUGCUUCUCUUGAGAGCGGCGGACGGGUGAGUAAUGCCUAGGAAUCUGCCUGGUAGUGGGGGAUAACGUCCGGAAACGGACGCUAAUACCGCAUACGUCCUACGGGAGAAAGCAGGGGACCUUCGGGCCUUGCGCUAUCAGAUGAGCCUAGGUCGGAUUAGCUAGUUGGUGGGGUAAUGGCUCACCAAGGCGACGAUCCGUAACUGGUCUGAGAGGAUGAUCAGUCACACUGGAACUGAGACACGGUCCAGACUCCUACGGGAGGCAGCAGUGGGGAAUAUUGGACAAUGGGCGAAAGCCUGAUCCAGCCAUGCCGCGUGUGUGAAGAAGGUCUUCGGAUUGUAAAGCACUUUAAGUUGGGAGGAGGGGCAGUAAAUUAAUACUUUGCUGUUUUGACGUUACCGACAGAAUAAGCACCGGCUAACUCUGUGCCAGCAGCCGCGGUAAUACAGAGGGUGCAAGCGUUAAUCGGAAUUACUGGGCGUAAAGCGCGCGUAGGUGGUUCGUUAAGUUGGAUGUGAAAUCCCCGGGCUCAACCUGGGGACUGCAUUCAAAACUGACGAGCUAGAGUAUGGUAGAGGGUGGUGGAAUUUCCUGUGUAGCGGUGAAAUGCGUAGAUAUAGGAAGGAACACCAGUGGCGAAGGCGACCACCUGGACUGAUACUGACACUGAGGUGCGAAAGCGUGGGGAGCAAAC
rnacentral:rRNA from 1 species